rnacentral:rRNA from 1 species
CAAUAGCGUAUAUUAAAGUUGUUGCGGUUAAAAAGCUCGUAGUUGGAUUUUGGAGUUUGUUUGCCGUCGGUCCGGAGUAAUCCGCGCACCGGAUGGCCGAGCUCUUCUGUCUGGAGACGCGGGCGGACCCUUCGUUGGGACCGUUCGUGGAUCUAGGACUCUUACUUUGAACAAAUUAGAGUGUUUAAAGCAGGCGCACACGCCUUGAAUACAUUAGCAUGGAAUAACAGCAUAGGACUUUGGUUCUAUUUUGUUGGUUUUAAGGACCGAAGUAAUGAUUAAUAGGGACAGUUGGGGGCAUUAAUAUUUAAUUGUCAGAGGUGAAAUUCUUAGAUUUAUGAAAGAUUAACUUCUGCGAAAGCAUUUGCCAAGGAUGUUUUCAUUAAUCAAGAACGAAAGUUAGGGGAUCGAAGAUGAUCAGAUACCGU